UAAAAGCCAUGCAUUUUUGUUCAUACUUUUGACCGAAACUUGAGAAGGAAUAAAGGGUUUUAAGCUUCCAAAUAUUCGGCCUUGUCCAAGCUUGAUUCAAGAUCAAGAAAAGAGAAAAUCGGAUUUGGAUCUGGGGAAGACCAAAAUAGUCGAGUAAUCAAUUAAUACUGGUCGUCGAUAUCCGAGAUUUUGGAUUCAUGUUAUAAGCUCGGGGAUCGUCAGCAAAGUUCAUCACACUAUUUACAGUUUUGGUAUUUAAAUAAUCGAACUUGAAGUAUGGCAUGUAUAAGCUGAAUUAUGUUUUGAUAUGAAAUGUUGAACUUUAGUUAUGUAUAACUAAAGCCAUGCGAAAAUGGCGAAGUUGAUUUAUGAAUUUAUGCUAUUUCAAGUAUAA